AACUACCACCUUCCUUUAUUUCUCCAGUUCGGAGCCAUUAUUGUUCUUCCUAAUUUCCAACACCAACAUCACAUUUGUUCAAUUCUCAAUAGCUGCAUAUUCAAAUUCCAGUACGUACAUUAUAUAGGCUAAGGCCAGCGGAGCCAAAAACAUAUUCUAUAUAUACUUGUUGUUGACAUUGAUCCUCGUAAGACCCAAGAACUAGUUGGUGACGUCGUAGUUGCUCCGAUCCACAAGACCGUCCCGCCAUUGAUGAAAGUCGUAGCUUUGCUGUCAAUCUUAGGCUCGGCGACCCAGUUUCGCCGGUCUUCGUAAAUCGGCCAAACUUUAUAUGCCUUCAGGACGAAAUCGUCUCUGUAGUAUUUGUCUCCCUUUCGAAUCCUCAGGCGAAACUGGGUGACCGAGCCUGGGAUUGCGUAAAUCUAUGUUGUCGUGUAUGGAUGAGGCGUUGCGUCAUCCUAGUGAGCACAACAAUCGUGAGACAAACUUUAUCAGUCAGAGGUUACGCAUAAUUCUGGCUGCAUUCUUUGUGCCAUUGGUGGUGAUCUCCUCUGCUGCGACAGCUGUAUCUCAACGUAUCAUCAGCCCUCCAUGGAUAUAAUACACGUACUGCAAUAUGAUUAUGCAGCUAGUGUGAAUUGAACAAAUGUGAUGUUCGUGUUGGAAAUUAGGAAUAACAAUGGCUACGGAACUGGAGAAAUAAAGGAAGGUGGUAGUUAUUUUACUGAAUUAGUGUAUUAAUCAUCCAUCCUAAAAUAAAAAAUAAAAAUUAAAAAAGUGAAAUAUCA